GUAGUCUGCAACUCGACUACAUGAAGCUGGAAUCGCUAGUAAUCGCGAAUCAGAAUGUCGCGGUGAAUACGUUCCCGGGUCUUGUACACACCGCCCGUCACACCAUGGGAGUCGGAUAUGCCCGAAGUCAGUGACCCAACCAUAUGGAGGGAGCUGCCGAAGGUGGAGCCGAUAACUGGGGUGAAGUCGUAACAAGGUAAC
rnacentral:rRNA from 1 species